rnacentral:rRNA from 1 species
GCCAGCAGCUAGCUCGCUGCAACUCUCACAUGGUCAACCACUGAAGCUAAGCAGGGCUGGGUCCAGCCAGUAUCUGGAUGGGAGACCACAUGGGAAAGUUACGUUGGUGCUGGAA